rnacentral:rRNA from 1 species
UACGAAGGGUGCAGGCGUUACUCGGAAUUACUGGGCGUAAAGCGUGCGUAGGUGGUGAGUUAAGUCUGUCGUGAAAGCCCCGGGCUCAACCUGGGAAUGGCGAUGGAUACUGGCUCGCUAGAGUGCGGUAGAGGAGAGUGGAAUUCCCGGUGUGGCAGUGAAAUGCGUAGAGAUCGGGAGGAACACCAGUGGCGAAGGCGCUCUACUGGGCCAUUACUGACGCUGAUGGACGAAAGCUAGGGGAGCGAAAGGG